rnacentral:rRNA from 1 species
UACGUAGGGUGCGAGCGUUAAUCGGAAUUACUGGGCGUAAAGCGUGCGCAGGCGGCUGUGCAAGACAGGUGUGAAAUCCCCGGGCUUAACCUGGGAACUGCACUUGUGACUGCAUGGCUGGAGUACGGCAGAGGGGGAUGGAAUUCCGCGUGUAGCAGUGAAAUGCGUAGAUAUGCGGAGGAACACCGAUGGCGAAGGCAAUCCCCUGGGCCUGUACUGACGCUCAUGCACGAAAGCGUGGGGAGCAAACAGG